rnacentral:lncRNA from 1 species
AUUGUCAUCAUUAAUCAUUGUCAGUAUGCCUUUAUCUUUAUGUCAGUAAAUGUUUAUCUGAUUGUUAGCAAUAAUAAAAAAUCCUGAUUUAGAUAAAAUGGAUUCAAAUACAGUUUUUGAAACAAAACGAAUGUGAUUUGAAGAUCCCUAGGAAGAUCAAAUUCCUAGCUUACAUUUGCAUGGUGAGUUCAACAAGUAUUUGUUAUUAGAGAACAAGUAACACAGUUAAUGGUGUAGGGUAGCAAACGAAUGUAACACCAAUUGAAAGUCCUUCAACAAGUAGAGAUGCACACAUGUUUCAAUCAUUUGAGAUACCCUUUUGUAGAAGUAUUUGGAAGAUAACUAUUAAUAAUUUCAUUUGUAAAGAUACGAUUUGUAAAAAAGUAUAUACAAAGUGGUUUUGCUGGUAUUAAAUAAAUAAAUAAAAAUACGUUGUCAUGUCUUAUUUUUUCCCAAAUGGUAUUUUGUAUAUUUGAAAUUAAAAAUAAUUUGCAUAUUUUAAAACCAAAUUAUUUUUUUUUUCAACUAUACAAAUAUUUUAACCUAACAUUUUCUUCCCACCAAAA